AGCCCACUCUACAGUUGGAAAACAGAAUUGCACAGACUCAUUGAAUGGUGGUCAAGGUUGGAAGGAAUCUCUGAAGAUUGGCUAGUCCAACCCCCCUACUCAGGCAGGGUCAAGUAAAGAUGGUUGUCCAGGACUCAUCACCAUUUGGUGUAUCAACCACCCCUCAAAACUGUACAUCAUCUGCACACUUGCAGAAGUCCUCUUUAUCAUUGUAAAAGGUAGGGAAUUUCACAGCAUGAAAGAGAACAUACUGUUCAUUUUCCUUUUCAAAAGGUGGGCUAUGACCUACUUU